CACUGCCGAGAAAAGCCUCUAGAUAGAAAAUAGGUGCCCGUACCGCAAACCGACACAGGUAGUCAAGAUGAGAAUUCUAAGGUGAGCGAGCGAACUCUCGUUAAGGAACUCGGCAAAAUGACCCCGUAACUUCGGGAGAAGGGGUGCUCUUUAGGGUUAACGCCCAGAAGAGCCGCAGUGAAUAGGCCCAAGCGACUGUUUAUCAAAAACACAGGUCUCUGCUAAACCGUAAGGUGAUGUAUAGGGGCUGACGCCUGCCCGGUGCUGGAAGGUUAAGAGGAGUGGUUAGCUUCUGCGAAGCUACGAAUCGAAGCCCCAGUAAACGGCGGCCGUAACUAUAACGGUCCUAAGGUAGCGAAAUUCCUUGUCGGGUAAGUUCCGACCCGCACGAAAGGCGUAACGAUUU
rnacentral:rRNA from 1 species